AAUAAUAAUAAAUAUAUGAAGACUCAAUUUAUAAGUUACAUAAUUGCCUGCAGUGUUAUCAAAGCCUAAUAUGGCCAAAAUAAAUUAAUUAGUACUUUCGAAAUAUCUGGUACGUAAACCCGGAAUAUAUAACACAAGACAGACUUGAUAUAUAAGAUACGUAAUUGACAGCAGAAUUACCGAAACAAAAAUUAGACAAAAUAUAUUAUAAACAGUAUCGAAAUGUCUGAUACGUAAUCUCGGAAAUAAUGAUAAAUGUAUGAAGACUCGAUUUAUGAGUUACGUAAUUGCCCGCAGUGUUAUCAAAGCCUAACAUGACCAAAAUAAAUUAAUAAGUACUCUUGAAAUAUCCGGUACGUAACCCCAGAAUAUAUGGCAAGAGACUUGACACAUAGGGUACACUCGACCCUCGAUUUAACGGACCCCAAUUUAACGGAUUUCGGAUUUGACGGACCACAAAAUCUCAACAAACAACUCUACCCAGCAACGGACGGACGUCAAAACCGUAUUUUCAACCAACGGACUUUUUCAAACAAUGGACCACCCUUCCCCCCUUUUAAUCCGUUCAAUUGAGGGCCGAGUGAACGUAAAAAUUGACAGACUUGAUAUAUAAGGUACGUAACACUAGAGAGACUUGAUAUAUGAGUUACGUAAAAAUUGACGGACUUGAUAUAUAAGGUACGUAACACUAGACAGACUUGAUAUAUGAGGUACGGAACACUAGACAGACUUGAUAUAUGAGGUACGGAACACUAGACAGACUUGAUAUAUGAGGUACGGAACACUAGACAGACUUGAUAUAUAAGGUACGGAACACUAGACAGACUUGAUAUAUGAGGUACGGAACACUAGACAGACUUGAUAUAUGAGGUACGGAACACUAGACAGACUUGAUAUAUAAGGUGCGUAACACUAGACAGACUUGAUAUAUGAGGUACGCAACACUAGACAGACUUGAUAUAUGAGGUACGGAACACUAGACAGACUUGAUAUAUGAGGUACGGAACACUAGACAGACUUGAUAUAUGAGGUACGGAACACUAGACAGACUUGAUAUAUGAGGUACGUAAUUGAGAAGGCUUAUGUAGGUGAGUUUAUUUUUCUUUAGUGUGAUUCUUUUGGUGAAUGAUCUCGGGUAACUCAGUAUUAUUAGUGAUGUUAUUAGUCAUGUUAUUAGUGGUCAUGUUAAUAAGAUCAUUGGAAAAUAGUGGUGAUAGUUAUUUUCUGCGGAUUGUUUCGACGUAAGUAUUAUUAUUAUUAUUAUUAUUAUUAUUAUUAUCAUUAUUAUUAUUAUUGCUUGUUAUCGCUGCACCAAAAGAAGGGAAUUCAAUACGAAGCAAAUAUGUUUUUUGGAGCAUUCAAUCCUUUACAAUAGAUUCCAAAACCUUACACUGUUCUUGAAGAGGUUCCAACACUAUUUGAAGCCAUUCUCUGCCCCCCAACACCCGCCAGCCCCCUCCUGCCCAGCGACCCCGCACCCCACCUUGCCCCGCCUCGCCCCGGCACCCCCAGGCCGCCCCGGCCACGCUGACGCUCGGGGCGGCCCGGCACUGUCACUCUAGGCCGGCGGCCAUCCCUGCGGCGACA